rnacentral:ncRNA from 2 species
GGAAGUCCGGUGAGAAACCGGCACGGUCGCGCCACUGUGAGCCGACCCGGCAUCCCCGGGACCCGGCGAGUCAGAC